rnacentral:lncRNA from 1 species
UUUCACUUCAGUCAUCUAUACCUUAUAGAUAAAUACUUCAACAUAGUCAGAUUUGCUAGAAAGUUGAUCUAUAAAUGCUCUCCAGUUUAAAAGUCAGCUCUGUUGGGCCAAUGCCUAGUUGUAUCUUUUAGGAUAUUUGUGGUAAAAUUUAUUUUUUGUGAUAUCUCUGCAUAUUCAGUCAAGUUCCCUCUUGUCUUUCAUACAGGACAAUGGUUGUGUCUGGUGAAGUUCACAAAGUAGAUAAGUACUAAGUCUUCAUUCCCCCUCCACCUGUGAGUACUUCCUGAGGGCCUACUAUGUGCUGGGCACUACGCCAGGCACUAGGAGCUGAAUUAAGGGCAGAGAGAAUCCACUUUUGUGAAGUAUACAACUUGGUAGAUGGGAGAUGUUAAAAAGUUAAAUGACUACAAAUAUCUGGCAAUGAGCAUCAUGCUUAAUAGUGAAAUACUGAAUGCUGUCCCCCUAAGAUUGGGAACAAAGUAAGGACAUCUACUCUCAUUAUACCUAUUGAACAUCAAUAAUGCAUAAGUUUGGAAAGGGCCAGGAACUGUGGCACACACCUAUAAUCCCAGCUCAGGAGGUUGAGGCAGGAGGAUUGCAAGUUCAAGGCCAGCCCAAGUAACUUAGUGAGACCCUGCCUCAAAAUCAAAUAAAACUUUUUACAUAGCUCAGUGGUGAGCACUUUUGAGCAUGUGACAUUCCUGGGUUUAGUCCCUACUACCACAAGGAAGAAAAAAAUAAAAUUAAAAAGAAAGAGAUUAAUUAUUUGUGGACAACAUGCUUGCUAAUGUUAAAAACAAAACCAAACACUGCCAAGGAAUGUACAAAUAAGCCUCUCACACAAUGAAAGUGUCUUUUCUAAGAUUACAGGAGGCAAACCACAAAAACCAAUUAUAUUUCUAUAAAUUAAUAAUGAAUAAUUAGAAACCAAGAUUUUUAAGAAAUUACAGCAGUUUCAAAACUAGGAAAUAUUAGGUCUAAAGCUAGCAAAACGUAUAGGCUGCAUAUACUAAAAGCUAUAAAAUACUGACUAAAGAAAUCAAAGAUGA